GAUGAAGAACGUAGCAAAAUGCGAUAACUAAUGUGAAUUGCAGAAUUCAGUGAAUCAUCGAAUCUUUGAACGCACAUUGCGCCCGCCAGUAUUCUGGCGGGCAUGCCUGUUCGAGCGUCAUUUCAACCCUCAAGCACAGCUUGGUGUUGGGACUCGCGUUAAUUCGCGUUCCUCAAAUUGAUUGGCGGUCACGUCGAGCUUCCAUAGCGUAGUAGUAAAACCCUCGUUACUGGUAAUCGUCGCGGCCACGCCGUUAAACCCCAACUUCUGAAUGUUGACCUCGGAUCAGGUAGGAAUACCCGCUGAACUUAAGCAUAUCAAUAAGCGGAGGA
rnacentral:misc_RNA from 1 species